GAAGCGGAGACGAACUGACAAUGUGGAACAACAGGAAACGGCACAAAACAGUCGUUCCAUGUGAAAAACAAAAACUAGCUUACUGUAUACCAGGGAGCACGACUGCAUAUACACACACGUAUGAAUCAAUCAUCAGAAAAGUUCUUCUUCUUGUACCCAAGUGACAGGCAUGUAGGAUCUUAGGUGCCCAACCACAGAUGGAACCCACACCGCCUGCCUUGGGAGAUGAAGUCUUAAGCACUGGACCACUGGGGAGGUCCCUUUGCUGCUACAUUCCUAGCCCACCACAGUUAAUCCGAGAAAAGAGCAUGAGACCAAAAUAAUCUGCUGUCCUGCAUCUGACGCAACAGCUGAGCCAAAUGAAAGCCUCAAGAGAGACAUGAAUAAAUGAGUAUUUCUGAAUUUUGCCUGGACUUCUGAUUAUAUUCGGAGAUAGCAGAACUUGUACCAGCAGCUUUGUGCAGGGCUUGCAUCUGACUGCCAAACAAUUAUCUUCAGGCCUCCAAGACUGUGAGCAGAAAAGAAGCUCAAGCUUCACUGAACCUGACAAGUUCGGAACGGAAAACAAUGCCCCCAUCUAACCUGGACCAUCAACAGCCCCCUCACCCCCCCACCCCCGCCAAUCCAAACCAUCAAAACACGCAGAAAGCAACAAAGGCUGUUAGAAUAUCAUAAACACAUGCACAAACUCUACACACAACAUGCUUGUACUGGGUCCCAGCUGCCCCAAACCAGACAUUUCUGCAAGGCAGGUUGAAGCGCUUAGCAACAAUCUGAAUCACAUUUGUUUGAAAUCCCUUCAUAUUUCAGAGACAGAGCAAAAGCACGGCCAGAGCAGCAGGAGAAGGGGGAUCCCCAAGGGUUUCGGCUAGACAUCAGUCUGGGGAACUGUAAAGCGAUGCAUAUGCUGACUGUCAAUUCUUGGAGCUGAGAAACGCAACGGGAAUGGAAAAUACUGAUAGGUUCAUCCUCGGAGAGGCGGGAGCCUGCAGAUUUCUAGUGUUCUGAGCAAAACCCAUCUGCGUCAACGGUGAUCACGCAGCCUUCCCAGGGUGUUCUUGGCACGCCAGCACCAACCCUGUCUGGGGCCUUCAUUAUUACCCAACACGGAUACUCCUCGGCGGCCACAUGUACCAGACAAGGGAGGAGGGUGGUAGGGUGUUUCUGCAGUGCCCCACUCUCUCAAAACUGAGACAGAUCUCAUUGGCUUGGGGCGAGAUUAUCUUAGGAGCUGAAGGUAAACGUCAGGCGAACACGGGCCACAGACACAUCAAGUCUCUUAUGAGUUCAUUAUGGCCGGCUGAUGCAGUAUUUCAACAUCCAAGUAAUCAGAGACUUUAAAAGACACUUU